GAUGCAAAUACAGCAGAUCACUCAAGGGAUGCUGAAACAUUUUUUGGUAUUCAAACAACUCUGGAAAAAUGCAAAUACAGCAGAUCACUCAAGGGAUGUUGAAACAUUAUUUGGUAUUCAAACAACCCUGGAAAAAUGCAAAUACAGCUGAUCACUCAAGGGAUGCUAAAACAUUUUUUGGUAUUCAAACAACUCUGGAAAAGUAUGAACAUCCAAUUUUGAAAAUGAACUAAAAGAUACUGAUUAUAAAGAAUUUAUGCAAUGUACGUGUAAUGGUUAUUAGGUAUAGUUGAUAGAAAAUUAAUAGCAAUGUAACUAAAAGUUACUCAAAUGCUUCCCUGACCAUAAUAUUAAGAAAAUGAUUCUGAUUUAUUAUUAUUAACUUUCAUACAUCUCAUUUAAGCAGAUUUUUCAUAAACACUAUAAAACAUGAUUUUAUAUGAUAAUUUUGAUGAAUAAUAUACAAUUAUUUUUUGAACUGCUUAUAAAACACACAAUUCUCAAGUUAAUCUCUUGAAACCUGGACCAUUAUAUUAAGAAAAUGAUUCUGAUUUAUUAUUAUUAACUUUCAUACAUCUCAUUUAAGCAGAUUUUUCAUAAACACUAUAAAACAUGAUUUUAUAUGAUAAUUUUGAUAAAUAAUAUACAUUUAUUUUUUGAUCUGCUUAUAAAACAAACAAUUCUCAAGAUAAUCUCUUGAA